rnacentral:siRNA from 1 species
GUUUCUGUUGGUGUGCAUCCC